ACAUCAUCAACUUCCUCAGUUUGUCUGUGGAUUGUUGGAUUUGGAGGUUGUUUUGCGGGCCUUUCUAGGCUGGCUCCUCUGAAAUACAUUAGCGGAACUGUUUGCGAUCUGUCACAGGUGUGAUAAAUUGUCUUUACACCUAAUGGGUUGCUCUCUUGUUGUUCAGCUUCCAACCAGUUAUGUGUCCCAUAGACACAGCUAUUACUGAAC
rnacentral:misc_RNA from 1 species